GACGAACGCUGGCGGCGUGCUUAACACAUGCAAGUCGAACGGAAAGGCCUCUUUCGGGUGGUGCUCGAGUGUCGAACGGGUGAGUAACACGUGAGUGACCUGCCCUUGACUUUGGGAUAACUUCAGGAAACUGUGGCUAUUACCGGGUAGGAGCUCCUGCUGCAUGUUGGGGGUUGGGAAGUGUCGGCGGGUGGGGGUGGGAUCGCGGCUUAUCAGCUUUUUGGUGGGGUGGUGGCUUACCAAGGCGUUGUCGGGUAGCCCGCCUGGGAGGGUGACCGGCCACAUUGGGACUGAGAUUCGGCCCAGACCCCUACGGGAGGGAGCAGGGGGGAAUAUUGCAACAUGGGUGGAAGCCCGAUGCAGCAACGCCGUGGGGGGGAUGACGGCCUUUGGGUUGUAAACCGCCUUCGCUCAUGACGAAGCUGUGUGUGACGGUAGUGGGUAAAGAAGCACCGGCUAACUACGUG
rnacentral:rRNA from 1 species